UACGAAGGGGGCUAGCGUUGCUCGGAAUCACUGGGCGUAAAGCGCGCGUAGGCGGGUUGGUAAGUCCGCUGUGAAAGCCCGGAGCUUAACUCCGGAGGGUCGGUGGAUACUGCCAGUCUUGAAGGUGCUAGGGGGAGAUGGAAUUACCGGUGUAGCGGUGAAAUGCGUAGAUAUCGGUAGGAACACCAGUGGCGAAGGCGGUCUCCUGGGGCAUUCUUGACGCUGAGGCGCGAAAGCUGGGGGAGCAAACGGG
rnacentral:rRNA from 1 species